rnacentral:rRNA from 1 species
CAGCAGCCGCGGUAAUACAGAGGGUGCGAGCGUUAAUCGGAUUUACUGGGCGUAAAGCGUGCGUAGGCGGCUUUUUAAGUCGGAUGUGAAAUCCCUGAGCUUAACUUAGGAAUUGCAUUCGAUACUGGUAAGCUAGAGUAUGGGAGAGGAUGGUAGAAUUCCAGGUGUAGCGGUGAAAUGCGUAGAGAUCUGGAGGAAUACCGAUGGCGAAGGCAGCCAUCUGGCCUAAUACUGACGCUGAGGUACGAAAGCAUGGGGAGCAAACAGGAUUAGAUACCCGAGUAGUCCCUGUCUCUUAUAC